GACGAACGCUGGCGGCGUGCUUAACACAUGCAAGUGGAGCGACGAACCGGGGGCUUGCCCCGGGGCAGAGCCGCGAACGGGUGAGUAACACGUGGGUAACCCACCCCGAUGACCGGGACAACCCGAGGAAACUCGGGCUAAUACCGGAUGUGCUCCUUGACCUCGAGGUCAAGGCGUAAAGAUAGCUUCGGCCUUCGCAUCGGGACGGGCCCGCGGCCCAUUAGCUUGUUGGUGGGGUAAAGGCCUACCAAGGCGACGAGGGGUAGCUGGUCUGAGAGGACGAUCAGCCACACUGGGACUGAGACACGGCCCAGACUCCUACGGGAGGCAGCAGUGGGGAAUCUUGCGCAAUGCGCGAAAGCGUGACGCAGCAACGCCG
rnacentral:rRNA from 1 species